rnacentral:lncRNA from 1 species
CCCAUGGAAAAAUGGCACCAGGCCGGGCACGGAUCGAGUCUGCACGCCGGAGAGGCGGGGGUGGGUGGCUGGGCAGGGCCCCUGGUGGGCCUACUGCCAGCCUCACCCUGGGGUGGGAGUGGAUUCUUGGGAAACAGCUCCAAAAGCCCCAAGUUCGCCCCUGAUGUGUUAGGUGUCCCUUUCAGUGGCCUCCCUCUCCCCUGACUACGGUUGAGUGGGAGGGGGCUACUGUAGGGGAAGAGGGAGGCCAGCCCUGUGGAGAGCUCCAGUACACUAUGUCAUCUGUAUUUAACGUGUCCAGCAUUAUGAUAACCCAUUUUAGAAAUACUCAUGUAAUGGUUAUAACACCCCUGUGAGGGAGGUGGCAUCAUUUUUACAGAUAAAGGAAACUGAAGUAGAGAGACAUUAAGGGCCCCAGAGAGAUUUGAACCUAGGAUGGCUGGUUUGGGGGAUGUUCACCGCAGGUGCUGCUGACAUAAAUCAAGAUGCUCAAUUCUGGGUUCCGUCUUGGAGUGGCGCUGGAGAAGAGGGUCAGCAUCGACAGCAGGGCUGGCUGCCCACUCUGUCCUGUUUGCUCAGCUGUAAAAUGAGCAGAAGAGGUGCCUCCCGCUCCCACAAUCCUGUCUGGGGUCGGACCCUGAGUGGCAAGGAGAGAUCCCAGUCCGAGGAGAAGGAAGAGGCUGGCAGAGUGGGAAAGACUGAGGUAUAAGGAAAGGUGUCAUCUCCUGUAAUACCCAGACAGCCUCCAACCUCUUUGUCAUUUUAAGGCAGACCAGGUGAGACAAACAGGCCAUCUGCAUGUGAAGGCAGAUCCCUGUGAGGCGGAUGA